UACAGAGGUGGCAAGCGUUGUUCGGAGUUACUGGGCGUAGAGGGCGCGUAGGCGGUUCGUCAAGUCCUGUGUGAAAUCCCCCGGCUCAACUGGGGAACUGCACAGGAAACUAGCGGGCUUGAGUUCGGGAGAGGGAAGCGGAAUUCCGGGUGUAGCGGUGAAAUGCGUAGAUAUCCGGAGGAACACCGGUGGCGAAGGCGGCUUCCUGGACCGACACUGACGCUGAGGCGCGAAAGCUAGGGGAGCAAACGGG
rnacentral:rRNA from 1 species